UACGGGGGGGGCAAGCGUUGUUCGGAAUUACUGGGCGUAAAGGGCUCGUAGGCGGCCAACUAAGUCGGACGUGAAAUCCCCAGGCUCAACCUGGGAACUGCGUCCGGUACUGGAUGGCUUGAAUUCGGGAGAGGGAUGCAGAAUUCCAGGUGUAGCGGUGAAAUGCGUAGAUAUCUGGAGGAACACCAAUUGCGAAGGCAGCUCGCUGGGACGUUACUGACGCUCAGACGCGAAAGCGUGGGGAGCAAACAGG
rnacentral:rRNA from 1 species